GGGUUGGGGUGGGGUUGGGGUGGGGUGGGGGCCGCCGCGCAUGCGCCGCACCUGCAGCGCCGCCCGCUGGCCCGCAGCUGGGUGUAGGCAGAGUGCGCCCCGGGACCCCGCCGCGUCCCUUCCGGGUGCCCCGCUCUUCUGGUUCCUCUGCUGCUGCCUGGCGCCGUUUUGCAGCCUCCUGGCCCUCGCUGGUCCCUGCUCCGGACUUGGGCGCUCGGCUCCCGAGCCUCGGUGCGGACCGGGAGCUGAGGCCGGGAGCUGAGCCCUGCGGCCGGCGGCCUAGCGGCAUCCUCGCCUGGCGUGGGUGGGAGCGUCUCCGAUCCUGCUUCUCAUUACCUGUGGGUGGUAACUGGAGACUGCUUCGUGAGUCCGUGCCUGGGAUGCUCCAGUUGUCAUCCCUGCUGACUUGGAGAAAAUUCAAACAGAAAUGGAAAGAGCCCAUUAGUGAGUCCAAGGGAGGCUUGACACUACAUGCUCCUCGGGGCAGAGGCAGCCGACCCUAGUGACCUACCAGGCAAGACAUGCUGGCCGCGACUGGGCACUGAGGAUUUAGAAGUUGCAAGGACUUGUUAGAGCACCCGACUGGAAUCCAGCAGUGACCCAUGAGUUCAGAGGAUGACACUAACCAUCUGGAAUGAACGCCCUCUUCUCUAGUCUCCAGAGUCCUUAUGUGCCCAUUACAGGUGUCGUGGUGGUUCUUCCUCUCGGUGCCCCUACACCUCAUCUGUCACUUCCGCCUCAGGACAUCUAUGUUUGCAGCACACAUUGGAUGGAAACGGCUGGGCACCAGAUAGCGCUUUGCCCACUGCCCAUGCUCCCAUCACCC
rnacentral:lncRNA from 1 species